CUUCAUCUAGAUUUUAAUAAAUUCUCACGCGUACGGUUCUCACGUUUCUUGUGUUGAGUGGCUGAGUACCGGUCAAAACCAGAGGAGGUGUGAGGCCUAUCUCAGAAUGAAUGCUUUGCGGUUGAUACUAUAUAUUACCAAAAAAUAGGUGACGUCAUCUUUGUAUUUAGGCCUUCCAAGAGUAAAAGCAAAAUGGCGUUCUUCAGAGCGUUAUCUCGUGUCCAAGCGAAUGCUUUAGAAAUUUCUCCGUUGUUGUACAUUCACUGCAUUUCUAAAAUGGAUAUGAUUCUAUACUCAACAAAAAAGAUUUCUACAGUAUAUCUGGCACCGCAGAAAAUUGGCCUAGAUGUUCAUAAGAAAACAGCAGUAAAUAUCGUGUUAUUUCAGUUGCUGAAAUGAAUCCUCACACUGCUUAUAGAAACCCUUCAACGAGGCCAGCCAGUAUGAGCUUCAAUGAUCCAAUAUCCCCCGAAACGCAGCCUUCGAUGCAACCAAAGCGAACGUUUCCAUGGGAUUACGCCGUCACUAGCAAACGGCACACCCAUGUGCCAGAACUCAAACGUUAUACCCCCAAAGAACGCGAAGAUAUGUCUAGGAAUGUCUAUGGCCAACCAUUAAAUCAGCCAACAAACAGUGAUCGUCCCCCACGCGAGGUACGAUUCUCAUUGGAUAAUCCUGGCUGUGACGAGCCAUCGAGUCGUAAUCACCAGAUAGAAAAAACGUAUUCCCAAGAUCACGAAGAUGGUUACCCUAUACCCACAAAGAUUGUAGAACCUGGUUUGCAAAGAAACUAUCGCCCGUCUUCUACUGUGGAACAAAAGGACACCGAGAAGAAGAUGAAAAAGAAGAGUAAAAAUAAAUACUGUGUCCUGAUCAUCAUUAUAAUAAUAUUACUUUUGCUGUCAUUAACAAUGACGGGUUUAUUUAUAUGGAAAAUGCUUUGCUGCAACGAAAAAAACCAUAAUUUGCCAACAACA